rnacentral:rRNA from 1 species
UACAGAAGGUGCGAGCGUUAUUCAUAGUUACUGGGCGUAAAGGGUAUGUAGGUGGAGCAGCAAAUUUUGUUCAAAAUCCUGGAGUUGUAACUUCAGAGCCAGGCUUUUAGAUUACUGUUCUUCGAGUUAAUAACGGGUCGGAGGAACUUCUAGCGAAAAGGUAAAAUUUUAACAAUUCUAGAAGGAACACCAAAAGGCAA